rnacentral:misc_RNA from 1 species
GGGAAGUACGAUCGCAAGAUUGAAACUCAAAGGAAUUGACGGGGGCCCGCACAAGCGGUGGAGCAUGUGGUUCAAUUCGAAGCAACGCGCAGAACCUUACCUACCCUUGACAUGUCUGGAAGCCCGGUGAGAGCUGGGUGUGCCUGAAAGGGAACCGGAACACAGGUGCUGCAUGGCUGUCGUCAGCUCGUGUCGUGAGAUGUUGGGUUAAGUCCCGCAACGAGCGCAACCCUUGUCCCUAGUUGCUACGCAAGGGCACUCUAGGGAGACUGCCGGUGACAAACCGGAGGAAGGUGGGGAUGACGUCUCUAGGAGGGUG